rnacentral:rRNA from 1 species
UACCAGCACCCCGAGUGGUCGGGACGUUUAUUGGGCCUAAAGCGUCCGUAGCCGGUUCUACAAGUCUUCCGUUAAAUCCACCUGCUCAACAGAUGGGCUGCGGAAGAUACUAUGGAGCUAGGAGGCGGGAGAGGCAAGCGGUACUCGAUGGGUAGGGGUAAAAUCCGUUGAUCCAUUGAAGACCACCAGUGGCGAAGGCGGCUUGCCAGAAUGCGCUCGACGGUGAGGGAUGAAAGCUGGGGGAGCAAACCGG